rfam:Paracoccus halophilus strain JCM 14014 Contig_41, whole genome shotgun sequence.
CGCGUAUUUCGCGCAGGCGGAACUCGACCGCCCGUUCAGGAAAUAAUCGCGUUCAUAGACGCGCAUCGCGACGAUUUUGGUGUCGGGUCGAUCUGCAGGAUUUUGCAGGUCGCACCA